AUGUCGGGAAGAAAUCGUGGUCCGCCUCUUCCGCUGAAAGGUGUGCCCCCUCAUGCAGGGCGUCCUCCUUCCAUCCGUGAGCCUCCGUUUGGUAGAGGCCUGGGAGCAAUGCCACAUCCAGCUUUGCUGGAGGAAUUGCGCGAAUCCCAACUGGGCAUGGGCCCGGGGAGGCGCCCUCCUCACCCUGCCAUUAUCGAGGAGCGUCUCGCUGCUCAACAUGAAGACAUUCAAGGGCUUUUGGUUGAUAAUCAGAGGUUAGCCGCAACACAUGUUGCUCUUAAGCAGGAACUGGAAGCUGCCCAGUACGAGUUGCAAAAGAUGCUGCAGAUCUCGGAUUCCUUACGAGCGGAGAAGGAUGUUCGGAUGAGGGAAUUGUAUGACAAAUCAGUGAGGCUGGAAGUGGAUCUGCGUGCGGUGGAUGCUAUGAGGGGUGAGCUUGGUCAGGUCAAUGCAGAUAUUAAGGAGCUUACGGGUGUAAGACAAGAGCUUACUGGGCAGGUGCAGGCAAUGACUCAAGAUUUGGGUAGGAUGACGGCUGACCUACAGCAGGUGCCAGCAUUGCGGGCAGAGAUUGAGACCAUGAAGCAGGAAGUACAGCGCGCUAGAGCUGCUAUCGAGUAUGAAAAGAAAGGAAGUGCCGAUAAUUAUGAGCAUGGUCAGGUGAUGGAGCAGAACUUGAUUUCCAUGGCCCGUGAGUUGGAGAAGCUUCGAGCAGAGAUUGCUAAUGCAGAGAAGAGAGCUCGUGCUGCUGCUGCUGUUGGCAAUCCAGGCUACAAUACAGCUUACAGCAAUCCUGAAGUUAGUUAUGCUGGGAAUCCUUAUCCAGCUGGAUAUGGCAUGAAUCCCGUUCCUGCUGGUCUGGAAGGCUACCCCCAAUAUGGACACAUGCCUGCUGCUUGGGGUGCAUAUGCUCCUCCUGGACACAGAUAGACUAGAUUUGCAUACCGAUAGGUCUGGCUCUUCUCUUAAAUUCUUUAAUGAUCUUGGUUGAAAGUUCAUCUCCAACAAUUGCUUAACUGAUAACUGUGUUGUUGGAGCUUCCAUUCAUUAAUAUGACUUGCUACCCUUUGGCCAAGUUCCUUAGAUUGGUACAUCACAACCCUGGUGGUAAGUUUUUAGAGGAAGAUGUCAUGGAUAAGUCCAACUUCAAUAAUUCUAACAUCAUAAGGACUCUAUGAAGUGAGUACUCCUUGAGAAUGUCACUGUCUAUGUGUGAUCUGAUACAUCAUUUUGAGUGCAGCCUUUGGAUCAGCAUAUUAUAUUAGACUUUCAAGGUUUGUAGUAUUACUUAGAUUAAUUGGAAUAGAUGAGAGAUCUUAGUCAUCAACCUUGCCAAAAACACAUCUUAGUCAUCGACCCUGCAAAAACCACUAUGUAAGACAGGUGGUAGAAUAUAGAUUGAGAAUGACAUGCGAAGCCUGUCUAAGAAGUGUCUGGAUUCCAGAUUCCGGAUUCCAUCUUCAGCUUUUCCAUGACAUUUAAAUGGUGUAAAGUGGUUUAGCUCACUAUGUAGUCCAACAUGAAUUUUGUGACCCAUUCCCAUGAUUUUUGUGGGAACUUAUAUCACAGUUAACUCUUCUUUGUAAUCCAACCAAAAAAAAGGAAACUCCUCUUUGUGCUUGGAGUCUCGGUUGAUUUCCCUUAUCCAUUCCCAUAACUUUUGUGGGAUCUUUUCAUCAUAGUCAGCUCUUAUCCAUGCUUGGAGUAGUCUGAUUUCUUCAUGUUUCUUUCUCAUCUCUGGUGAGGUCUUUAGUGAUGCUAUUUCAUGUGGUUUGCUUUUGUUUGUGGCCUAUUUUGGGCUGUAGAAUAUUCAUCUGUUGCGAGGCUCCAGAAGCUGGCCACUACUAAUUUUGGCUUUCAGCCGAGGGAGAUUACUUCCUCCAAUUUGGGUUUUUGGUCUUGGCAAGGCUGACUUAUGGCAGAAAUUUUAUCUGUGGGAAAUGCUUUGGAUUAUAUGGACAACCUCCUUUAGUAUGAUACCAGACUUGUGACAUCUAGAGAUAGCAGCUAUCUUUCUCUGCCUCUCACAAAAGAUAAGAAAAGUUUCUCAUGCUUCUAGUAUGGAGUUGUUGCAUUUAGGAGUAUGACUGUCCCCAUCAAUUUGGGCAGUUGAAUAGAUUUAAUGAACAGUUUUAGCUGGUGAAGUUUGUGCCCUUGGUUUCUCCUUUCAAGGAAAUUUUUUGAUUUAAGAUCUUUAUUCAUCUCAUUCCGUUGCCGAAAAGCAGCAGCCAGGUAUUCAUUGCUUGUGCCUUCUAACUGAAAGAUAUUCAACUAUGAUGCUGCAGGAUCAUUUCAUGGUCGAGUAAGUGCUGUGUGUCUUAAGAUAUUGUCCUCUAUUGUGUUCUUUCUGCAUUUGUUUUCCUUGGUUGUGGUUACUCUCACACAGGGAUACUUGGAGGAUAUAAUUGAAGCUGUUGUUAACCCAAACAAGAAUACUGGUUACUGCUUCUGUGCUCCAGCGCCCUGUAUAUGGGCUAUGUUUCAGUUACUGAUCAUUAUCGAAUGAGAACGACGAUGGACAUGUCAAUGCCGUGCAGUGGGAGAGAGUGCUGCAUAGUUUAUAGUAUGGGAAGCAAUGGAGUUGCCGGGGAUUGUGAGUGUGAUUGAAAGGACAGGACCCUCACCUGACGACUGUCAGAAGAGCAUGCUGAGUGCACCUUCUGCCGCUGAUGCAAAUUACAGGUUGAGGAACUUGGGGACCGCACUCUUGUCAUGAAAAAUCGUUGCUGAGCUGUGAAACAUAUGACCUUUGUUAUCUUGGUCCGUUCAAGUUUCGGACAGAAUUCAAUGCCUUUCCCAUCUUUUUGGUUAGCUUUGGCAAGAUACGGCAAGGUCGCCAUGGCUCCACUUUGCCAAUUAUUAUCGUGAAUAGUAAUACCGUGAGUAGCCUUUUACAGACAAAUAUGGAGCGUCAAAGAGCAAAAUCGAGCAUCAUUGAACUUGUUUGCACCCUGUAUUUGUUUUUGUGAGUGUUGCUUCUGACUUGGCUCUGUAGAGAUGUUCACAAAGGAUAAAUUUCCAUCUACCCAUUUGCGAGUA